UACUCGUCUACGCGCGAUGGGACACGCGAGCAGACUAUGCCUGUUUGCUCACGAUGGGAUGCAUGCAUAAACUGCACUUUGCACCCCACGCAGAUGGGAUGUACUCACAAUGCACAAGUCCUACGCUGGUCACGCGCACGCAUUCUCGAGUAGCGUGUAGAGCUCGUGCGGGCAGGAUCCUUCCCACAGGCGUUCCCAUGGGAUUUUUCUGCAUUUUUCUCUG
rnacentral:lncRNA from 1 species